ensembl:lncRNA
AAGCAAGCAAGAGGAAGCGAACGUUUGAUACAAUGAAAUUUAGACCUAGUAAGCUGUAGAUUUGACCAAAAAAAAAACAUCUUCAUGAAUCUAAUUUAAAAUGUGCUUUGGCUCUCAGUCGAUACAUUAUUAUCGUCCAUAGCCGAGUAUCCACGACACAUUAGAAAUAUCACCAAAAGAGCGAGGAUGUUGGUCCCCGCGGGAAGAUAAUGAAGAGGUUGCGCGAUUUGUUGGUGUGCCUCAUUGUUGCUCUUCUGUGCUGGUGCCCCAGUAAUUAUGUGUAUAGUUCAGAGCAAAGCGUGCCCAGUCCAGCUCAGUCUGGUGGGGACACAGACCCUGAGGUCCACAAACGGACCAUGGAGGGGGCCCUGGAGCAGGAGUCCACUCGGCACAAGAUUGAGGAAGAGUCGUUGCACACGCUUACGUCAUAUGAUGUGGGACUGAAGACGGAGAGAGCAGAAUCACUAAAGCAACCGCCAGCAGAAAACAUACACAACAGUGAACUGACUCUGACCCCAGAUGAGGCGUCUUCAGCGGCAGAUAUCCCACCAGACCAUCAAACCGACUUUAUACCGGGUUCUCCUGAAACCAGAAAAGACACAGAGCCCCAGACAUACUCGGAUCCACACUCUGAAGGCCAGGACCACGACCGGGCAGCCCAGGCUCUACAGUCCCCCACUCCCUCUACCUCCUCCACGCUGGUCACCCCAGACCAGCUGCCACCUCCAGCCCAGGACCAGGCUACCACAGACAUUACUCCACCCCGAGCCCUCCUCCCCGAGCCGACGGAGGGUUCCGGCGAUGCCCCCGCGCCGCAGCCCACCUUGGAGGCUGUCCCAUCGGCUGACCCCUCCGGGGAACAGUCCCCACGCGACAUCCAAGACGCGCCUACCUCAGGGAGCG